UUUAAUUUUUCACGACUUAUUUCUUCGCGACGACGCGAUAAACAGGUUCAAGCGGCGAUUUCCUCUUCUUCAUCAAGGUUCGACGAUUUCCUUCUUCAUCAACACGACCUGCUAGGUUUCCUUCUUCUUCAUCAACCCGAUAGGCUAGGGUUGUGUUCUUCAGCGACGCAACAAUGCUAGGGUUGUGUUCGCCGCUCGAUUCCACUCCAUACAGGACACACCAAUGAUGCUUGAAUUCCCAAGAUUACGUGAUUUGAGCCAAAUUACUCAAUUGAAAUUCCUCUUUAGAGGGCAGAAGCUAUAGCUUCUUCUUCAGGUUAUUCAUAAAAAGUAAAAAGAACGAACGCUGCAUUAUAAAUAUCAUCACAGAUUGUCUCGCAAGGAUUAUAUCGGUUUAGAGACUGAAUUGGUAAGCUUCAUAGCAUUGUAUUUGUCAUUUUAAAACAAGUAUUUAAUAUUAUGUAACUAAUCAUUUUUUUGGAUUUAUAGAGAGAGAAAAAAAUUAAUUGAUAGAUCGAUACUUUGGCGUAAAACCCGCGAGGACAAAUCUGGCAACAUAACAAAUAUGGAGAUAGCAUAAGAUGACUUGUUGGAAAAAAAAAGUCAAAGGAGAGUUCAAAUCUUCUGAGAUGAAUGAUGUGUUAACCACUGCCUUAGGAAAUCGAACAGAGAUAACAUCUGCUUCAUCCCAUAUAACACUGCGUACCAUUGGAUCUUGACUAUAAUUAAUGAAGAUAAGAAUAUGAUAUAUUUAUUAUACUCUUUGAGUAACAGGAACGAGACUAUGCUUGGCAAAUUAUUGUGACCAAUGGAGUCAAGAUAUACAAUGCAUCAAGGGGUAUUUCAAAAGGAUCAUAUUUUAAACAAUUGACGGGUAAUCUUAAACAAAAUGGUGGUAUUGAAUGUGGAUAUUGUGUGAUGCGGUAUAUGAAAGAGAUAGUCUUGGAUGAAGAUCCAUAAUUGGAGAGGAAGUUUGCAGCAUCAAAAAAUAAACAGUAUUACAAUCAAUCUCAGUAUGAUGAAGUCAGAAGUGAAUGAAGUGAAUUCGUCUAUUUCUAUGUGGGUGCCUAAGUGUAGGCUAUGAUAUAAAUUAUAAACAUGUAUUUAGAGAUUUAUGGAUACAAAAGUUUUUGGGUUAUGGUUAAACAUGUCUUUUAUUAAUACAAUUUUGAAUUAUAUUUGAUACA